AUGGCCCGCACGAAGCAGACGGCGCGCAAGUCCACUGGCGGCAAGGCUCCGCGGAAGCAGCUGGCGACCAAGGCGGCGCGGAAGUCGGCCCCGGCCACCGGCGGCGUGAAGAAGCCCCACCGCUUCCGCCCGGGGACCCGCCUCGUCCGGGAGAUCGCGCUGGACUUCAAGACGGACCUCCGCUUCCAGAGCUCUGCCGUGUCGGCGCUGCAGGAGGCCGCCGAGGCGUACCUCAUCGGUCUGUUCGAGGACACCAACCUCUGCGCCAUCCAUGCCAAGCGCGUCACCAUCAUGCCCAAGGACAUCCAGCUCGCCCGCCGCAUCCGCGGGGAGCGCGCUUAG
rnacentral:rRNA from 1 species